rnacentral:rRNA from 1 species
UCAGAUUGAACGCUGGCGGCAGGCCUAACACAUGCAAGUCGAACGGUAGCACAGAGAGCUUGCUCUCGGGUGACGAGUGGCGGACGGGUGAGUAAUGUCUGGGAAACUGCCUGAUGGAGGGGGAUAACUACUGGAAACGGUAGCUAAUACCGCAUAACGUCGCAAGACCAAAGAGGGGGACCUUCGGGCCUCUUGCCAUCAGAUGUGCCCAGAUGGGAUUAGCUAGUAGGUGGGGUAACGGCUCACCUAGGCGACGAUCCCUAGCUGGUCUGAGAGGAUGACCAGCCACACUGGAACUGAGACACGGUCCAGACUCCUACGGGAGGCAGCAGUGGGGAAUAUUGCACAAUGGGCGCAAGCCUGAUGCAGCCAUGCCGCGUGUAUGAAGAAGGCCUUCGGGUUGUAAAGUACUUUCAGCGGGGAGGAAGGUGUUGUGGUUAAUAACCGCAGCAAUUGACGUUACCCGCAGAAGAAGCACCGGCUAACUCCGUGCCAGCAGCCGCGGUAAUACGGAGGGUGCAAGCGUUAAUCGGAAUUACUGGGCGUAAAGCGCACGCAGGCGGUCUGUCAAGUCGGAUGUGAAAUCCCCGGGCUCAACCUGGGAACUGCAUUCGAAACUGGCAGGCUAGAGUCUUGUAGAGGGGGGUAGAAUUCCAGGUGUAGCGGUGAAAUGCGUAGAGAUCUGGAGGAAUACCGGUGGCGAAGGCGGCCCCCUGGACAAAGACUGACGCUCAGGUGCGAAAGCGUGGGGAGCAAACAGGAUUAGAUACCCUGGUAGUCCACGCCGUAAACGAUGUCGAUUUGGAGGUUGUGCCCUUGAGGCGUGGCUUCCGGAGCUAACGCGUUAAAUCGACCGCCUGGGGAGUACGGAUCCGCAAGGUUAAAACUCAAAUGAAUUGACGGGGGCCCGCACAAGCGGUGGAGCAUGUGGUUUAAUUCGAUGCAACGCGAAGAACCUUACCUGGUCUUGACAUCCACAGAACUUUCCAGAGAUGGAUUGGUGCCUUCGGGAACUGUGAGACAGGUGCUGCAUGGCUGUCGUCAGCUCGUGUUGUGAAAUGUUGGGUUAAGUCCCGCAACGAGCGCAACCCUUAUCCUUUGUUGCCAGCGGUCCGGCCGGGAACUCAAAGGAGACUGCCAGUGAUAAACUGGAGGAAGGUGGGGAUGACGUCAAGUCAUCAUGGCCCUUACGACCAGGGCUACACACGUGCUACAAUGGCGCAUACAAAGAGAAGCGACCUCGCGAGAGCAAGCGGACCUCAUAAAGUGCGUCGUAGUCCGGAUUGGAGUCUGCAACUCGACUCCAUGAAGUCGGAAUCGCUAGUAAUCGUAGAUCAGAAUGCUACGGUGAAUACGUUCCCGGGCCUUGUACACACCGCCCGUCACACCAUGGGAGUGGGUUGCAAAAGAAGUAGGUAGCUUAACCUUCGGGAGGGCGCUUACCACUUUGUGAUUCAUGACUGGGGUGAAGUCGUACAGGGGGACCCCGUAA